ACAGCAGUCGCCACGGGAAUACGUAGGGUGCAAGCGUUAAUCGGAAUUACUGGGCGUAAAGUGUGCGCAGGCGGUUAUAUAAGUCAGAUGUGAAAUCCCCGGGCUCAACCUGGGAACUGCAUUUGAGACUGUAUGGCUAGAGUGUGUCAGAGGGGGGUAGAAUUCCACGUGUAGCAGUGAAAUGCGUAGAUAUGUGGAGGAAUACCGAUGGCGAAGGCAGCCCCCUGGGAUAACACUGACGCUCAUGCACGAAAGCGUGGGGAGCAAACAGGAUUAGAGACCCGCGUAGUCCCUGUCUCUUAUAU
rnacentral:rRNA from 1 species